rnacentral:rRNA from 1 species
CGGACGGGUGAGUAACGCGUGAGAAUCUGGCUUCAGGUUCGGGACAACAGUUGGAAACGGCUGCUAAUACCGGAUGUGCCUAAUGGUGAAAGAUUUAUCACCUGAAGAUGAGCUCGCGUCUGAUUAGCUAGUAGGUGUGGUAAGAGCGCACCUAGGCGACGAUCAGUAGCUGGUCUGAGAGGAUGACCAGCCACACUGGGACUGAGACACGGCCCAGACUCCUACGGGAGGCAGCAGUGGGGAAUUUUCCGCAAUGGGCGAAAGCCUGACGGAGCAAUACCGCGUGAGGGAGGAAGGCUCUUGGGUUGUAAACCUCUUUUCUCAGGGAAGAACAAUGACGGUACCUGAGGAAUCAGCAUCGGCUAACUCCGUGCCAGCAGCCGCGGUAAUACGGAGGAUGCAAGCGUUAUCCGGAAUUAUUGGGCGUAAAGCGUCCGUAGGUGGCAGUUCAAGUCCAUUGUCAAAGCGUGGAGCUUAACUCUAUAAAGGCAGUGGAAACUGAAUCGCUGGAGUGCGACAGGGGCAAGGGGAAUUCCUAGUGUAGCGGUGAAGUGCGUAGAGAUUAGGAAGAACACCGGUGGCGAAAGCGCCUUGCUGGGUCUGCACUGACACUGAUGGACGAAAGCUAGGGGAGCGAAAGGGAUUAGAUACCCCUGUAGUC